CUGAUCCGAGCCUGACUUUCAGUAAACACCAGCGCAGAGAGCAAUAAAGCAUCCGGAACAUUUGUCUCGGGCGCGCGGCCCCCGCCCGCUAAAUGUUUGAUAAGCGGCUGUCGGAGGGGAGAUUUGUCAGCGGUCCGAGCCGAAGGCGGGGAGGGUGGAGAGAAGGCUCGUCUCUGCGCCCGGCGGCCGCCCGGUGGGUGGCUGCGUUACUGUGGCCCGGAGCCCGACAGAGAAAGGAAGGAGGAGACCUGAACAGUACAUCCGGAGAAUCCAGCAAAGCAUACUACGGCAUGAACGUGCAAGUGGACAGAAUUAAAACACAUGCCAGAAACACUAAUGGAUUCUAAACAAGAUGCAGUUUCAUUUCCUGAGCCUAUACGUGAUGUUUUUAACUGUUCUCCAGUUAAUAUGUCUCCAUUUCCAGAAAUCUAACAGGAGAAUCUCUGACUGCUUAACAGAUCACCUAAGCUUGCGAUUUGUGCAAUCCUUUCUAGAGUAAGGGCUCCCCGGCUGCUCCCCGGCCACUGUGUACCCAAAGCAGCGGCUGAAAUAGCCCGGAGUCCAACAGCUCAGCGUCAAGCAGCUCGUGGUUUGUACUUACAUCAUUUUUUUUUUCAGAGCAAGAGUGAAAGUUUAUUAAAAAGCGUUAGAACAGUAAGGAAAGGAAAGGAGAGAAAAUAAGGAAAGUACAACUUGGAAGAGGGCCAAGCGGGCGACUUGAGAAAUCAAGUGCCUGUACUUACAUCAUUCUUAACCCUUUCGCUCCUGGAGGGGGCUCAGCGGGAUCAGGGGGCCCCUGAACUUCGGAACACGCAGGACCUGGGUGUGAGAGAAGAGUCCCAAAGCUUGGCGUGAGCAAUGCACUCGCGGAGGGAGAGAGCCCGGGGCUUGCGGGGGGCUCAUCACCCGCUCGUAGACAACGGGCCCCCGCAAUCCCUGCGGGCUCCGCCGCUGCUCUCACCGCUCAAAACGGCAGGUGCAAAAAGCAUUUGGGAGCCGCUUGCCAGCGCGCGGAGGUAAUGCGCUUCCUGUCCAUUUAUCUCAGGAAACCAGUGCAGCCUUCCCUUCGAAACAAAAUUAACCUCUCAUUAGCCAGCCACUCGCUCCCAAGAAGGCCUUAAAAGCUUUACCAGCUCGCUAAUGUAUUUAGGCUUUUCUUCCAGGCAAACGCAGCCGCCGGUCUUGACUGCCAUCGCCCAAGGGGUUCCUCUGGGCUCUCCCGCGAGCCAACAGCCGACCUCUCUCCAGCCUAGUCUGGGAAACUCCAGCCAACCCAGGAUCCCAUUUUGUAGUCCCGGGCAGACCCGAAACCCCUGAAAGAACUCCACUCCAGAAGACGCCAGAACAAGUUCCCACGAAUUUCAUGGGCGCCCUUCACAUGAAAACCUCAGCUCCCCUAUCCUCAAGGAACGGGGAAGGGCGCCGGGGAGGGACUUCGGUGGCCAGCUGUCCCUGGGUCGUGGGCGCUGUUUGCUCUGCGGAGCGCCAGCCCUGCACACAGCGGGUGCGGGAAGCGUUGAUGGGAGGCUGGAGGGCGGGGUGAGCGUAAACUAGGAUCUAGCCGGUUCCAGGCGUGGAGAAUCAAAUGUGGUCCUAGAUCUGUAAGUUGCGAAAAGGGGCUUUUGGGAGCGUCAGAGCUUUCUCACUCCGGUCCCCCGCCGCCUUGAGGCUGGCAGAUUUAUACCCCACAGGUGGAUGGAGACCUAAACAAAACAGUCCCGGCCGCUGCCUGCCGCUCGCCCCCCACGUCCCCCGGGCCCACCGCAAACUUCAACAAAAUAAACAACUCACCACAGGCAUUCCCUUGUCUGCAGCGCGACGCUUGCCAGCUGGGAAAAUAAGCCGCAAGCCACGCGGCCGAGGC
rnacentral:lncRNA from 1 species